rnacentral:rRNA from 1 species
CAGUAGCCGCGGUAAUACAGAGGUCUCAAGCGUUGUUCGGAUUCAUUGGGCGUACAGGGUGCGCAGGCGGCGUGGUAAGUUGAGUGUGAAAUCCCGGAGCUUAACUCCGGAACUGCACUCAAUACUGCCAUGCUCGAGGACUGUAGAGGAGAAUGGAAUUCACGGUGUAGCAGUGAAAUGCGUAGAUAUCGUGAGGAAGACCAGUUGCGAAGGCGAUUCUCUGGGCAGUUCCUGACGCUCAUGCACGAAGGCCAGGGGAGCAAACGGGAUUAGAUACCCGGGUAGUCCCUGUCUCUUAUAC